UUCGCGAAAACCAAGAACGAAAAUAUUUGCAUAGCAAUACUAGGAACCACCUCCUUGGCCAACCCAAUCUCCCUUGGGUUGGCUUUUCU
rnacentral:sRNA from 1 species